GAUGAACGCUAGCGGCAGGCCUAAUACAUGCAAGUCGAGGGGUAUCCCGCUUUCGGGCGGGAGAGACCGACGCACGGGUGCGUAACGCGUAUGCAACCUACCCAUAUCUGGGGGAUGGCCCGGGGAAAUCCGGAUUAACACCGCAUAAAAUCACAGUACGGCAUCGUACAAUGAUCAAAUAUUGAUAGGAUAUGGAUGGGCAUGCGUGUCAUUAGCUGGUUGGCGGGGUAACGGCCAACCAAGGCGACGAUGACUAGGGGAUCUGAAGGGAUGGCCCCCCACACUGGUACUGAGACACGGACCAGACUCCUACUGGAGGCAGCAGUAAGGAAUAUUGGUCCAUGGGCGGAAGCCUGAACCAGCCAUGCCGCGUGCAGGAAGACGUCCCUCUGGGUUGUAAACUGCUUUUAUUCGGGAAUAAACCUGCAUACGUGUAUGCAGCUGAACGUACCGUAAGAAUAAGCACCGGCUAACUACGUGCCAGCCGCCGCGGUAA
rnacentral:rRNA from 1 species